AUACUUGUGCCAUAACGUCUUCCUCCGGGUGGCCACGUCCCCUGGAUUUUCUUUUUCAUUCUCAGCAGGGGCAAAUCCUAUUUAUAAUUUCGCAUAUUAUUAUGCCAAACAUACGUUUUUGACAGUAUUUCAAAUCCCACUUUUUGUGGUCAUUUGCAAGAUUUUACUUUAAAGAAUUCAAUCAAUCUACAGUAUCUUCAUCAUUCUGUGCACCCAUGUGAAUUUCAAAAGCUUCUACGUUUAUAUUCUCGAUACUACACAGUAGAUAAACCACUGAUAUCACUUCAAGCAACAUAUAAAAGAAUCUGGCAACGUCGCGUCGCUUCUCGCGCCCCCGCAAAAAAGUCGAAAACGAUAAUAUGGAGGGUAGAGAUAAACGAGAAGAAUACAUAAUAAUGGUAGCCAUACACGUAACGAUAUACUUGUGCAGGGGAUAAGCGUAAAGCUGGCUAAUCUUCGGUAGGAAAUGGUAUGGGGUCAAGUUUUGGAUCUUGUGAUGAUAAUCACUUUUCUUUAUUUGAGAUUAACGUAUAAUUAUUCCAAAAAGAUAUAUAAUCUAUACUAAUAUUAUAAAGCUGAAGAGCUUGUUUAUUUGAACGCGCUAACCUUAGGAGCUACUGGUCCGAUUUGAAAAAUUAUUUCAAUGUUAGAUAGCCCAUUUAUUUAGGAAGGCUAUAGGCUAUAUAACAUCACGGUAAGACUAAAACAAGUGGAGCACCAAUAAAGAAUAUUUCAGAAUAGGGGUUUGAAUAGCUCCUUAACAUUCUGUAAUUCAACAAUAUUUUCACUUUCUACGUAAAUGAAGUAGGGGGUAAAAUUAAGCGUUAUGCCGAAGUAAUUAUUCCACGCGGACGGAGUCGCGGGCAAAAGCUAGUAGUAAAUAUAUAUUUAUUCAUAAAACACAAUUAUUAUAUUUAAUUAUUAUUAAUUAACUACAAGAUACGUUAACAAUUUGAUAGGAACUAUGUUUUUUAUCGUAUACAACAUAAGGGAACAUGUUUAUUCCGUGGCAUGCCGCUCCGUAUUCGCCGUCAUUCUUCAGUGCAACAACUGCUCCCAUAAAAUCCGGAUAAUGGGACGCUAUUCUCGCAACUGCUGUUUUAGCAGCAUCAGUAGGUGAAGAGCCUCGGCGCAUUUCUUCUACUGUUAAAAAACU